rnacentral:rRNA from 1 species
AACGAACGCUGGCGGCAGGCUUAACACAUGCAAGUCGAACGCCCCGCAAGGGGAGUGGCGGACGGGUGGGUAACGCGUGGGAACAUACACUUUUCUACGGAAUAGCCCUGGGAAACUGGAAUUAAUACCGUAUACGCCCUACGGGGGAAAGAUUUAUCGGGGAAGGAUUGGCCCGCGUUGGAUUAGCUAGGUGGUGGGGUAAAGGCAUACCAAGGCGACGAUCCAUAGCUGGUCUGAGAGGAUGAUAAGCCACAUUGGAACUGAGACACGGCCCAAACUCCGACGCAAGGCAGCAGUGGGGAAUAUUGGACAAGGGGCGCAAGUCUGAUCCAGCCAUGCCGCGUGAGUGAUGAAGGCCGUAGGGUUGUAAAGCUCUCUCACCGAUGAAGAUAAUGACGGUAGUCGGAGAAGAAGCCCCGGCUAACUUCGUG